rnacentral:lncRNA from 1 species
GGGGAAUGUGCUGUGUUGACUGUAUGUACGUCUGUACUUGCAUAUAAAUUAAAUAGAAUUUGAAUGGCUAAGUCUUAGAUAAUAAAAGAGAGAUUUGAAAGAGAAAAAUAUUUCCAAUGUGUUCCAAUGCAGGAGAACAAUUUAUGAAGAAUCUUAAUCCAGGAUUGCAACAAUUAAUAGAUGGUAUUUUGGAAGGCACCCAUCAAUAAAUGUUACCACAUCCUUCAACUACAAGAUCUUGGCACAGUAUAAACUGUGAUCUUGGCUCAAAACGAUUAACUAUGAAUCAGCCAUAUCCUCUGAGGCCAUUGAAACUGUUAAGAGACUCAUUCAAAUAGGGCGAGAUAAAAAACUGUUCUUCUCAGUUAGCAGUCAGAGUGUGUGGAAUAGUGUAAAUUAUAAGGAAUACCUUGAUUUAGGAAUGUCCAAUGAAAGCUCGAAUGAUAAUGCACCUUUAUCAUCAUAUGCCUUGAUUUUUAUGAUUGUAUGCAUCAAUAGUUUUUUCCAAAUACCCAUUGCCGAUUAUUUUACAAAUUUUUUAACAACUGAGCAAUUAGUAACUCAAACUAAAUCAAUUAUCACUGAAUGCUUUUUCAAUGACAUCAAUAUUUGCACUACAAACUUUCCUUGGGCCUGCAUCAAAUGUUAUUAUGGGAGAAGAACUUAGAACUAAUAUUUGACUCAUAUGCUUCAUUCAAGUACUUCAAUAAAUAUGAGAUUUUUAUAACUUAAGAUACGUAUCAUAUGUUGAAGUUAAUCCGUAAUCAAAUUGCAUCAUGAUAUAUAACUGAUAAGGAUGAUAAAGUUAUAUCUUGGUGCUAUAUUAAUUCUUUGCGUCGUUUACAUUAAUCGGAAAAAUGCACUCUACUACAAAAAUUAAUAAACAUUUAUUUUUUAACAGCGAAAAAAUGAAGGUUUUUCUGGUGGUGCAGAUGCUCUCGAAUUCUGUGAAUUCGAUUUAGAGCCUGAGGAGUUUAAAGGUGCUAGUGCAACAGCUCGAUUUUGUUUAAUUAUUGAUCACUAUUUUGAUCUUUUAACACAAUAAAUUUGUUGAACAAAAAACCACCUAUAACUAAAAGUAAUUUAGAAGAAAUGCAUGUAAAAAUAGAAAAAUACGUAAAUUAUAUUAAGAGCCUAAAAAUUGGCAAUGUAUCCAGAAUUUCUUGUAUGUUCUAGCAACAAAAUUAUUCAAAAAAAUAGUUAGUGCAAUGUUUAUUACAUACAUACAAAUUGUUGUAUAAAAAAAAUAAGACCAUAUAGAAAUGUUUUAUUCUUAUAUUAGAAAUGACAGUGGCUUUAACAAUAAUUAACUCCCAUGCAAUUAUUAAAGUUCCUUUAUCUGCUAAAUGUAGCAUCUCCAAAAGAUGACAAAACUGACAUUGUCAAUGGCCUAAAAGGAAUUCCUGAGAUUGGAGAGAAGUUAGGUAAUAUCAGCAACCAUGCAGGAUGUAAUAUCUUAUAUUUCUGAUUCUGCUGUUAAAAGAUAAAAAUUACAUGUAAAUAAUUUCUUAAAAGCAUUGAGCUCGAUGAGAAAAGUACCAUAUUCAUCUUUGCAAAGUAGAAAAAGUUAGAACUAUAACUUAAGCAACCAAAAAUAUUAUUUGCCAAGUAGCAGAGAUAAUUUUUUGGGCUCAAAAUAUUUUUUUUAAAACAUGCUUGAAAUAAUGACUUUGUUUGAUUUAUUAACUGCAUAAAUCAAUGUUUGCUACUGAUAAUGUUUACAAUCAAGCCCAAAUAGCCAACUGACCAACUAUUGUGAGUAAUUAGAUUCGAUAAUUUAAAAAAAAAUAUGAUACCUAUGAUAAAAUUGCAUUAUAGAGCUACAAGUUUGAAAAAGAAUGAAGAAAGAAUAAGAAAUAAUAAGUUGUUAUUAUUUAAGAAUCAAUAAUUGAAUGAAUUUGUAUUUUGUGUAUUAAAAGGAAUAAAACUAAAAUUCUA